CCGAAGCUUGGGGUGCGUAAAACUUCGGUUUUAUGCGCGGUAGAGGAGCGUUCCGUAAGCCUGCGAAGGUGGAUUGAGAAGUCUGCUGGAGGUAUCGGAAGUGCGAAUGCUGACAUGAGUAACGAUAAUGCGGGUGAAAAGCCCGCACGCCGAAAGCCCAAGGUUUCCUUGCGCAACGUUAAUCGACGCAGGGUUAGUCGGUCCCUAAGGCGAGGGCGAAAGCCGUAGUCGAUGGGAAGCAGGUUAAUAUUCCUGCACCUCGCGUGAGUGCGAUGGAGGGACGGAGAAGGUUAGGUGUACCGGGCGUUGGUUGUCCCGGGGAAAGGCGGUAGGUUUGGAUCUUUGGCAAAUCCGGGAUCCUUUAAGACCGAGCACCGAGACGAGCCUUUAUGGCGAAGUCACUGAUACCACGCUUCCAGGAAAAGCUCCUAAGCUUCAGCUCACGAAGACCGUACCGUAAACCGACACAGGUGGGUAGGAUGAGAAUUCUCAGGCGCUUGAGAGAACUCGGGUGAAGGAACUAGGCAACAUGGCACCGUAACUUCGGGAGAAGGUGCACCCUUUUUGGUGGCUCAUGCGAGC
rnacentral:rRNA from 1 species